GCAUCUGUGAACUAAAGCAUGAGAAAUGAUCCCUGACCUCUGACCCUUGUCCUCGGGGAGCCUGGAGGCAUGUGAGGGAAGACCAGUAGGCUAGCAAAGACUGAGUUGAGUUUCAGCUGGUUAGACAGAGGCAUCUGCUCCGUCCCUCCAGAGGAGCUGAGGGCUAGUGAAGAUGGAUGGCAGGGGACAAGCAAUCAGUCUUCAUCAACUCCCACGCAGGCUGACAGGACACCCACUGCUGAGCUCUCUAUGCAGCAAGGUUGGCUCCCAACUUCUCUGUUGAAUCACUGACUAAACACCAACACCAUGAGAUAUUUGCAAAACUCUUUCCUCCAGGGUAAUCACUCCACUUCGAGUAAUAUGGCUCAUCACUGUGAUGGGCCAUACUGAUGAGCUUAGGGGAUUCUGGGAAUAGUCCUCAGAACCAUGGACACCACCAUCCUCAUCUCCUAGUUUUCCAUCAUUAACUCAGCACCUGAAAAAAGACAUCUUCCUCUGUGAGUCACCACUGCUACUCAGGAGACAAAAGUCUAAUUAUUCUAAAUAUUAAAGCUUCAGCAAGGACUUGUG